CUUGCCAGUCAUUCUGAAUUGGGAUCCUUCCUGGGGGCACAUGCAUCACUCAGCCGAGAUGGAUUCCAGUGAGGAGGAUCCUGGGAAGUUGGUAGGACCUCUGCACUGCAGUCUCCCAUCUCUUUUUGACCUCUCCAGAAUCCUGGCACAGUGCACACAGGAACUUGCUUCUGCCACUAAUGAUGAAGUCAAUCUGAGGGACAGAUAUUUGUAUCCUGGAUGCACUAGGCUCUUCCAUGCAACUGACUGGAGUGGUCUUCCCUUAUUUGUUCCAUCAUGUUUUAAAUAAAAGUAAAUAUACAUAUGGUAAAACA